CGGGACACGUGGUAUCCUGUCUGAAUAUGGGGGGACCAUCCUCCAAGGCUAAAUACUCCUGACUGACCGAUAGUGAACCAGUACCGUGAGGGAAAGGCGAAAAGAACCCCGGCGAGGGGAGUGAAAAAGAACCUGAAACCGUGUACGUACAAGCAGUGGGAGCACAGGUUUACCUGUGUGACUGCGUACCUUUUGUAUAAUGGGUCAGCGACUUAUAUUCUGUAGCAAGGUUAACCGAAUAGGGGAGCCGGAGGGAAACCGAGUCUUAAUUGGGCGUUAAGUUGCAGGGUAUAGACCCGAAACCCGGUGAUCUAGCCAUGGGCAGGUUGAAGGUUGGGUAACACUAACUGGAGGACCGAACCGACUAAUGUUGAAAAAUUAGCGGAUGACCUGUGGCUGGGGGUGAAAGGCCAAUCAAACCGGGAGAUAGCUGGUUCUCCCCGAAAGCUAUUUAGGUAGCGCCUCGUGAAUUCAUCUCCGGGGGUAGAGCACUGUUUCGGCUAGGGGGCCAUCCCGGCUUACCAACCCGAUGCAAACUGCGAAUACCGGAGAAUGUUAUCACGGGAGACACACGGCGGGUGCUAACGUCCGUCGUGAAGAGGGAAACAACCCAGACCGCCAGCUAAGGUCCCAAAGUCAUGGUUAAGUGGGAAACGAUGUGGGAAGGCCCAGACAGCCAGGAUGUUGGCUUAGAAGCAGCCAUCAUUUAAAGAAAGCGUAAUAGCUCACUGGUCGAGUCGGCCUGCGCGGAAGAUGUAACGGGGCUAAACCAU
rnacentral:rRNA from 1 species